GACGGAGGGGGCUAGCGUUGUCCGGAAUUACUGGGCGUAAAGCGCUCGUAGGCGGUCGCGUACGGCGGUGGUGAAAGCUCCCGGCUCAACUGGGAGAGGCCCGCCGCAACGGCGUGACUCGAGGGUGGUAGAGGCAGACGGAAUUCCUGGUGUAGCGGUGAAAUGCGUAGAGAUCAGGAGGAACACCCGUGGCGAAGGCGGUCUGCUGGGCCAUGCCUGACGCUGAGGAGCGAAAGUGUGGGGAGCGAACAGG
rnacentral:rRNA from 1 species